rnacentral:snRNA from 1 species
AUUGCGUCUCAGCCUUUUGGCUGAGAUCAAGUGUGGUAUGUGUUCUUAACAGUUUUAUAUCUGAUAUCCGAUAUUCGAGUAUAUUAAAUGGAAUUUUGGAGCAGGGAGAUGGAUGGAAUAGGGCCUUGCUCCUUCCACUUCAUGCAUCAUCCACCUGCAGUACCUCCAGAAAUGGCGCACCCCCU